AUAUAUACAAUAGAUAGUCAAUAGUGGGGCUAACAUGACAAGUCAAUGGCAGGCAGGAAUUAACGGACAUAUGUGAAUAACCACUUCAGACAAUCCAUUUAGUUGCCCAGGAAAUAUUAGUUAACAGCUGGAAAUUCACAAGGAAACCUAGAUGGCAGCUAUGAAGGCCAUUGCCAAACCCCCAGGAACAAGGCACGAGUGAACAGCUAAUGUGAUGCAGACAACUAGUCUACAUAAAUUAUUAGUCCAUGAAGGCAAGAUCCCACAGUCUUUGCUCUACUCCCUAGUUAUUGUUGCAAAGUAGGACAAGCUAAAAUGUGUUUUAGAUGUACAGCAUGUAACAGACAUAGAUUUCUGGAAAUUUUAAAUGUUGGUCUUAGAAUUAAUGCAUUCUAAAGGUACAUUAAGAAAAAACUCGAUAACUAUAAAAAAAUUUAUGAA